rnacentral:rRNA from 1 species
UUCCAGACUCCUACGGGAGGCAACAGUGGGGAAUAUUGCACAAUGGGGGGAACCCUGAUGCAGCGACGCCGCGUGAGUGAAGAAGUAUUUCGGUAUGUAAAGCUCUAUCAGCAGGGACGAAGAUGACGGUACCUGCAGAAGAAGCCCCGGCUAACUACGUGCCAGCAGCCGCGGUAAUACGUAGGGGGCAAGCGUUAUCCGGAUUUACUGGGUGUAAAGGGGGCGCAGACGGCAGCGCAAGCCAGGAGUGAAAGCCCGGGGCCCAACCCCGGGACUGCUCUUGGAACUGCGCGGCUGGAGUGCAGGAGGGGCAGGCGGAAUUCCUGGUGUAGCGGUGAGAUGCGUAGAUAUCAGGAGGAACACCGGUGGCGAAGGCGGCCUGCUGGACUGCGACUGACGUUGAGGCCCGAAAGCGUGGGGAGCAAACAGGAUUAGAUACCCCGGUAA